GACGAACGCUGGCGGCGUGCCUAAUACAUGCAAGUAGAACGCUGAAGGAGGAGCUUGCUUCUCUGGAUGAGUUGCGAACGGGUGAGUAACGCGUAGGUAACCUGCCUGGUAGCGGGGGAUAACUAUUGGAAACGAUAGCUAAUACCGCAUAAGAGUAGAUGUCGCAUGACAUUUGCUUAAAAGGUGCAAUUGCAUCACUACCAGAUGGACCUGCGUUGUAUUAGCUAGUUGGUGAGGUAACGGCUCACCAAGGCAACGAUACAUAGCCGACCUGGGAGGGUGGACGGCCACAAUGGGACUGGGACACGGGCCAGACUCCUACGGGAGGCAGCAGGAGGGGAUCUUCGGCAAAGGACGGAAGUCUUACCGAGCAACGACGGGUGGGUGAAGAAGGGUUUCGGAUCGUAAAGGUCUGUUGUAAGAGAAGGACGAGUGUGAGAGUGGAAAGUUCACACUGUGACGGUAUCUAAACAGAAAGGGACGGCUAACUACGUG
rnacentral:rRNA from 1 species